UGGGGAAUAUUGCACAAUGGGCGAAAGCCUGAUGCAGCAACGCCGCGUGAGUGAUGAAGGCCUUCGGGUUGUAAAGCUCUGUCUUUUGGGACGAUAAUGACGGUACCAAAGGAGGAAGCCACGGCUAACUACGUGCCAGCAGCCGCGGUAAUACGUAGGUGGCAAGCGUUGUCCGGAUUUACUGGGCGUAAAGGAUGCGUAGGCGGAUUUUUAAGUGAGAUGUGAAAACCCUAAGCUUAACUUGGGGACUGCAUUUCGUACUGGAAAUCUAGAGUGCGGGAGAGGAGAAUGGAAUUCCUAGUGUAGCGGUGAAAUGCGUAAGAGAUUAGGAAGAACACCAGUGGCGAAGGCGAUUCUCUGGACCGUAACUGACGCUGAGGCAUGAAAGCGUGGGUAGCAAACAGGAUUAGAUACCCUGGUAGUCCACGCCGUAAACGAUGAGUACUAGGUGUAGGAGGUAUCGACCCCUUCUGUGCCGCAGUUAACACAAUAAGUACUCCGCCUGGGAAGUACGAUCGCAAGAUUAAAAACUC
rnacentral:rRNA from 1 species